GGAAUUGCCAGUCAAUUUAGAAUCGGCACACCGCUUUGCUAAAGCGGCGUGGGGGUAAAACCCCACCGCGGGUUCGAAUCCCGCCCUCUCCG
rnacentral:tRNA from 1 species